CCUGGUUGAUCCUGCCAGUAGCAUAUGCUUGUCUCAAAGAUUAAGCCAUGCAGGUCUAAGUGCACACGGUCGGUACAGUGAAACUGCGAAUGGCUCAUUAAAUCAGUUAUGGUUCCUUUGAUCGCUCCACCCGCUACUUGGAUAACUGUGGCAAUUCCAGAGCUAAUACAUGCAAACGAGCGCCGACCCGGCUCCCCUCGGGGGGUCGGGGACGCGUGCAUUUAUCAGAUCCAAAACCCAUCCGGGUGCGGCUCCGGCCGCCCCGGCCGCUUUGGUGACUCUAGAUAACCUCGGGCCGAUCGCGCGCCCUCCGCGGCGGCGACGACUCAUUCGAAUGUCUGCCCUAUCAACUUUCGAUGGUACAUUCGGCGCCUACCAUGGUGACCACGGGUAACGGGGAAUCAGGGUUCGAUUCCGGAGAGGGAGCCUGAGAAACGGCUACCACAUCCAAGGAAGGCAGCAGGCGCGCAAAUUACCCAUUUCCGACACGGAGAGGUAGUGACGAAAAAUAACAAUACAGGUCUCUUUCGAGGCCCUGUAAUUGGAAUGAGCGUAUCCUAAACCCAUGGGCGAGGACCCAUUGGAGGGCAAGUCUGGUGCCAGCAGCCGCGGUAAUUCCAGCUCCAAUAGCGUAUACUAAAGUUGCUGCAGUUAAAAAGCUCGUAGUUGGAUCUCGGGAGCGGGCCGGCGGUCCGCCGCGAGGCGAGCCACCGCCUGUCCCGGACCCCUGCCUCACGGCGCCCCCCGGAUGCCCUUAACUGGGUGUCCGGUCCUCGGGGCCCGAAGCGUUUACUUUGAAAAAAUUAGAGUGUUCAAAGCAGGCCGCCCGUCGCCGCUGAAUACCGCAGCUAGGAAUAAUGGAAUAGGACUCCGGUUCUAUUUUGUGGGUUUCUGGAACCCGGGGCCAUGAUUGAGAGGGACGGCCGGGGGCAUUCGUAUUGCGCCGCUAGAGGUGAAAUUCUUGGACCGGCGCAAGACGGACGAGAGCGAAAGCAUUUGCCAAGAAUGUUUUCAUUAAUCAAGAACGAAAGUCGGAGGUUCGAAGACGAUCAGAUACCGUCGUAGUUCCGACCGUAAACGAUGCCGACCCGCGAUCCGGCGGCGUUAUUCCCAUGACCCGCCACCUGAUUAGGGAGGGAUUGCACAAGUGAAACUCAAGAGAUUUGACGAUUACUUUUUGCCAAUUGCAACCCCUGUUGGGGAUCCCUGAUUGAUUGGAACUAUUGCCUGGGGAGGCCUCCACCUGGUUGAUAACCAUGAGAGGUGGUCUUGCUCCUCCCUGUCUGCACUACGAUAUAAGACGAUGCUUUACUCUAAGCUCGUUGGCCUCACUAGACCCCUUGUCUGCAUAGUGAGAGAAAUACAACAGCACCUUGCCGGGAAAUCGUGCUAGGCAGACACCUCUGGUGUACGGGAACCAGGGAGAGCACCCCUCCCUCGGUAUAUGGCUGCUAGGGUGUCCUGGCAGAUGGGAUGACGAUGCGCCAGGGAAGGCCGAUGUCCGGUGAUUGACCAUGAGGGAUAUCUUGCUCCUUCCCGCACUGCGUAUCAGCGCCACCUGAGGAUGCGAUGUCGAUUAAUUACGACGUCAUACAGGAUGGUAGGGCGCCCUGUAUAAAAAGCCACCCUGUGGAAGCCUCUGAAUCGGGUGACCACAGUAUGGCUAGUUCCCCUGGGAUCAUGAUGGUGGUGGUGGCUCAUCAGGCAAUUCGACCCUUGGACCGGUUAUCAUUAAGAGAUGUUCAGUGGUAUUGACUCGUCUCCCCAGGGGACGGGUGGGAGGCAAUACCCUGACAGAGAGCAAUGCAGCAAACCUCAGAGCGAGGAGUCAAAUCAAAGAAGCCUCAGGUCCAGUGCAAACUG
rnacentral:rRNA from 1 species